rnacentral:rRNA from 1 species
CGGGUGAGUAACGCGUGGGCAACCUGCCCCGCACUGGGGGACAACAGCCGGAAACGGCUGCUAAUACCGCAUAUGCGCACAGCUUUGCAUGAAGCAGUGUGGAAAACUCCGGUGGUGCGGGAUGGGCCCGCGUCUGAUUAGCUGGUUGGCGGGGCAACGGCCCACCAAGGCGACGAUCAGUAGCCGGCCUGAGAGGGUGGACGGCCACAUUGGGAUUGAGACACGGCCCAGACUCCUACGGAAGGCAGCAG